AUUGAACGCUGGCGGCAUGCUUUACACAUGCAAGUCGAACGGCAGCGCGGGCCUCGGCCUGGCGGCGAGUGGCGAACGGGUGAGUAAUACAUCGGAACGUGCCCAGUGGUGGGGGAUAGCUCGGCGAAAGCCGGAUUAAUACCGCAUACGACCUGAGGGUGAAAGCGGGGGAUCUUCGGACCUCGCGCUAUUGGAGCGGCCGAUGGCAGAUUAGCUAGUUGGUGGGGUAAAGGCCUACCAAGGCGACGAUCUGUAGCUGGUCUGAGAGGACGACCAGCCACACUGGGACUGAGACACGGCCCAGACUCCUACGGGAGGCAGCAGUGGGGAAUUUUGGACAAUGGGCGAAAGCCUGAUCCAGCAAUGCCGCGUGUGUGAUGAAGGCCUUCGGGUUGUAAAGCACUUUUGGCGGGAACGAAAAGGACUGUGCCAAUACCACGGUUCGAUGACGGUACCCGCAGAAUAAGCACCGGCUAACUACGUG
rnacentral:rRNA from 1 species